GGCCAGGGUGGUGGUACCUGUAAUUUCAGCUACUUGGGAGGCUGAUGCAGAAGAAUGGUUUGAACCCUGGAGGCAGAGGUUGCAGUGAGCCGAGACCAUGACACUGCCCUCCAGCCUCGGCAACAAGAGGGAAACUACAUAAAGGAAAAAAAAAGGAAAGAAAAGAAAAAAAGAAAAAAGAUUGCUGCUUAUUGACAAUUCACCUAGCUACCCAGAAGCUUAGAUGGAGAUGUACUUGGAAAUUAAUGUUAUU
rnacentral:lncRNA from 10 species